GACGAACGCUGGCGGCGUGCCUAAUACAUGCAAGUUGAGCGCUGAAGGUUGGUACUUGUACCGACUGGAUGAGCAGCGAACGGGUGAGUAACGCGUGGGGAAUCUGCCUUUGAGCGGGGGACAACAUUUGGAAACGAAUGCUAAUACCGCAUAAAAACUUUAAACACAAGUUUUAAGUUUGAAAGAUGCAAUUGCAUCACUCAAAGAUGAUCCCGCGUUGUAUUAGCUAGUUGGUGAGGUAAAGGCUCACCAAGGCGAUGAUACAUAGCCGACCUGAGAGGGUGAUCGGCCAACUUGGGACUGAGACACGGCCCAAACUCCUACGGGAGGCAGCAGUAGGGAAUCUUCGGCAAUGGACGAAAGUCUGACCGAGCAACGCCGCGUGAGUGAAGAAGGUUUUCGGAUCGUAAAACUCUGUUGGUAGAGAAGAACGUUGGUGAGAGUGGAAAGCUCAUCAAGUGACGGUAACUACCCAGAAAGGGACGGCUAACUACGUG
rnacentral:rRNA from 1 species